GCGGCCGCGGCGUGCACUGUCGGUCGGCGGCUAAGGAGGGGAGGCACCUGCAUCUGGGGCGCGGCGAAUCCUCGCGUGCGCCAGGCCGCCUGGGGUAGUCGCCGAGACUGCGCCGGCCAGCGGGGCCGAAACCUAAUCAGGAGCUGAGCUUUGAUGGCGGCUUCUGGAGGGACAAAGAAGGCGCAGAGCGGUGGGAGGAGGCUGCGAGAACCUAGCUCCCGCCCCAGCCGACGUGCGAGACAAAGGCCCCGGCGCGGGGCUCUUCGGAAGGCCGGGAGGUUCCUGUGACAAUGCGAGUCUGCGCCCCACGCUCCCGCACCGUGAUGCCGAGGCCAAAUGGCUAGAGUGGGCCCAGGCAUCAGCAUUUCUGUUUGGCAGCCGGGCAGUUGUGGUGCACGUUUUGAGGAACUACUAAAGCCUGCCUGUGAUGAAAAAGGCAAAAGCUGACUUCACCAAAAUUACUCCCAGGGAGACUUCUGCAUUUGGCUGGAAGGACAUUUGAGUAAACCGCUGAGGCUGGUGGUUGAAACAUAAUCCUCUAAGGGAGAUCGGUUCCGAUACCCUGAGUUAGGGACGCUUGCCUGGGCAGAGCUAAGGGGAGAAUGAUCAAAAGCCAAGCUCUGUCCCCGUCAGCACGUCACCCUCCCUCACUGUAAUCCCUGACUGUUUUCUCUAAAUGAAGAAUUAUUUAGAGAAUAUAAAUUAGAAGGGCCGCCACGUCAGAAUUGCCUGAGUGGGAGCAGUCUUUCCAGCCUCGAAAAAUGUUUAAACAAUAUGCAGAUGACCUAGCACAAAUAAAGAAUGCUAGCAACCGCUGUUAUGUGUGAGCGGUGGAAUUGGGAGGGCUCUUCCCCCAAUCUUCAUCAAACAGAGUAAGGUUUAGAAUAAAAAUAAUGAAAUACAGUCUUUCAAAAAGAGCAGCGCUUGACUAAUGUUACUGAUGUCACUCAUGUUACUCAAGGGAGGAAAGAACUCAAACUCUACAUAAUAAUACCCACUGAUUUCAAGGGCUGGCACGGAGAAUUAAGCAGACCGCCAUUCUUUAUAUUUGUUUUUUUGUUGUUGUUUGCUUAUGAUUUUUUUCUUUCUUUUUUUUUUUUUUUUUUUGAGAAGGGGUCUCGCACUGUCACCCAGGCAGGAAUGCAGUGGCGCGAUAAUGGCUCACUGCAAUCUCACUAUAUUGACCAGUAUGAUUUUCAACUCCUGUCUUUAAGCGAUCCUCACGCUUCGGCCUCCCAAAGUGCUGGGGUUACAGACAUGUGCCACUAUGCCCUGCCUAAAUAUGUUUAUAUAUACUACCGCCAAAGAAACAAUUUGAAGACGAUCUUUCCCCAGCCCCUCUCCUUCUGAUCCAACUCCAAGAGCUCACCCUCCCUGUAAGACCUGUAGCAGAGCACGUAUUGGCCUGCUGAUACUAGGGGCAAAGACCGGGCCGAUCAGAUGUUACAUGGCAUAAGGGCGAAGGAUUCUGAAAGAAAGACUGAGACUUGCUGGAGGAAGUACUAGUAGUGCCAAGGGCAGGUAUGUGACCCUCGGAGCUGCAGAGCCAGGUUAGGAUGAAGGGAAUGUGUGUGUAUGGGGGGCGUGGAGGAAGCCUUCCUUUUGUAUUUAGGUGCCUUCCCUUGUGAUGUUCAAAGGAAAGUUAACCUGUCAACCAGUUUUCCCUUCUGCAUAGUAAUUCCUUCUGGAAUUGCCCUAACCUUUUCGCAUUCAGACUUUAGGCGUUAAAUAUAAGAGUAAUAAACCAACAUUUGUUGAGUCCCCACUGUGAGUCAGGCACAAGUUCUCACAACAGCCCUUUGAAUACAUGAAUCAGUCACACCUCUCUUGGUUGCCAUUGACAGGAACUCAACUGUUAGGCAGAAGGGAGGAAUGUACUGUUGAUAUGGACAGACUCCAAGAAGGGGAGGGACUGCUGGGACUACUAGAACGAGAAUGCCUCUGCCCCUAUGGCUCAGCUCUGCAACUCUCUCUGCACAUUGGCUUCAUGCUGUUAGACCAGCUUCCUCCAUAUGUCUGGAAACAAGGCCACUGACAGCUCCCAACAUUUCAUCUUCUGCCUCAUCAUCAGACAGGCGAGGUACACAGAAGAAAGGCCAUGUGAGGACACAGCGAGAAGCAAGUAUCUGCAAGUCAAGAAGAAAGGCCUCAACAGACACCAGCCCUGCCAGCACCUUGAUCUUGGACUUCUGGCCUCCAGAACUGUGAAAGAAUAAAAUUCUGUUGUUUAAGCCACC
rnacentral:lncRNA from 10 species